rnacentral:lncRNA from 1 species
AAUUCAGCCUAUGGAGGGCAGUAGUGAGCUGAGGAGCUUCUUCACCAGAGGAUCUGCUGAUCUGGAAGCUGAACUCUGCAAACACAGGGAGCUAGGUGAGCGCUGGAGCAAUCCAUCUGCGUGUCAUAACCUCAGAGGGUCACGGUACACGGUACGGCUACAGUAAUCUGUAUGAGAGUGGUUACCAAAAAAGAAUGUGGAAGGAACUGGGAGAAAAGAGGUGCCUCGGUGGGAACAUGCCUCAGUGUGACUGACUUUGGCCAAUGUCCUCCUGUACAAGGUAACAGCAGUUUUUGGAAUGUGUGCACAAUGUAUUUUCAAAGUAUAAUGGAACCAAUUACAUUUCAGAAGUGAUUUAAAU